rnacentral:lncRNA from 1 species
AUAGAACAUAAAUUUGGAUGAAAAAUGAGGUAGGAAUAUUAAUGGGCUAUUUUGGAAACAUUUUGCCGGUGGGUUUUUAUAAAAAUUAUAGAACUCAUCAAUAUCCCAAAAAUAGUUUUCAGAAAGUCAAUUAAUAAUUCUUGUCCCAUUCAUUUCAUUCCAACUUUAUUUCCCUAAAUAUUUCUCAACACUAGUCAAAAAGGGUGAAAGGGGAAAUGAAAUUGGAAGGAUGGAAUGACUAAUUUACCCUUGAUUAGUUAAGGAGUAAUUGGGGAUUUUGAGAUUGUUUUGAAAACUGGGAAAGAGUUCAAUGGUAAUAAUGGGAUGAAUAAUCAUGCUUAACUUGUGCAACUGAAUAUUCGGAAAUUUAAAUUCUGAAUGAAAAUUAGGUGGAAAUAUUAUUUGGUACAUUUACAUUUUUUUAUUUUUAUUUUUUGAAAACAUAGACAUGUAUGCAUAAAAUUUAAGAACAGUGUGAUAUAGUUUUAGUGGUGGUCUAAACCAAUCUAGGUUGCAAUGCAUAUAAAAGUAAAUGAUAGGUUAAAUUGAAUGUAACGAUAUAUGAUUAAUUUAGUUUGACCUAUCAUGUAUUGCAAUCCAGAUAUGUAUUAAA